UACGGCCGCAUCACGUUGAAACACCGGUUCCUGUACGGACACCGAAGUUAAGCAGCGUUGAGCCUGGUCAUUACCUAGAUGGGUGACCGCUUUCAAAUACCAGUUGCUGCAAG